rnacentral:rRNA from 1 species
GGGGAAUCUUGCGCAAUGGGCGAAAGCCUGACGCAGCAACGCCGCGUGCGGGAUGAAGGCCUUCGGGUUGUAAACCGCUUUCAGUAGGGACGAAAUUGACGGUACCUACAGAAGAAGCCCCGGCCAACUACGUGCCAGCAGCCGCGGUAACACGUAGGGGGCGAGCGUUGUCCGGAUUUAUUGGGCGUAAAGAGCUCGUAGGCGGCUCGGUAAGUCGGGUGUGAAAACUCUGGGCUCAACCCAGAGACGCCACCCGAUACUGCUGUGGCUUGAGUCCGGUAGGGGAGCGUGGAAUUCCUGGUGUAGCGGUGAAAUGCGCAGAUAUCAGGAGGAACACCAGCGGCGAAGGCGGCGCUCUGGGCCGGAACUGACGCUGAGGAGCGAAAGCGUGGGUAGCAAAC